rnacentral:rRNA from 1 species
GACGAACGCUGGCGGCGUGCCUAAUACAUGCAAGUAGAACGCUGAGGUUUGGUGUUUACACUAGACUGAUGAGUUGCGAACGGGUGAGUAACGCGUAGGUAACCUGCCUCAUAGCGGGGGAUAACUAUUGGAAACGAUAGCUAAUACCGCAUAAGAGUAAUUAACACAUGUUAGUUAUUUAAAAGGAGCAAUUGCUUCACUGUGAGAUGGACCUGCGUUGUAUUAGCUAGUUGGUGAGGUAAAGGCUCACCAAGGCGACGAUACAUAGCCGACCUGAGAGGGUGAUCGGCCACACUGGGACUGAGACACGGCCCAGACUCCUACGGGAGGCAGCAGUAGGGAAUCUUCGGCAAUGGACGGAAGUCUGACCGAGCAACGCCGCGUGAGUGAAGAAGGUUUUCGGAUCGUAAAGCUCUGUUGUUAGAGAAGAACGUUGGUAGGAGUGGAAAAUCUACCAAGUGACGGUAACUAACCAGAAAGGGACGGCUAACUAC